AUUGAACGCUGGCGGCACGCUUUACACAUGCAAGUCGAACGGCAGCGGGGAGGAGCUUGCUUCUCUGCCGGCGAGUGGCGAACGGGUGAGUAAUACAUCGGAACGUGUCGAGAAGAGGGGGAUAACCACCCGAAAGGGUGGCUAAUACCGCAUAAAUUCUGAGGAAGAAAGCUGGGGACCUAGGAAUAGGCCUAGCGCUUUUUGAGCGGCCGAUGUCGGAUUAGCUAGUUGGUGAGGUAAAGGCUCACCAAGGCGAAGAUCUGUAGCGGGUCUGAGAGGAUGAUCCGCCACACUGGGACUGAGACACGGCCCAGACUCCUACGGGAGGCAGCAGUGGGGAAUUUUGGACAAUGGGGGCAACCCUGAUCCAGCCAUGCCGCGUGUAUGAAGAAGGCCUUAGGGUUGUAAAGUACUUUUGUUAGGGAAGAAAAGUCAGCUGUGAAUAAUGGCUGAUACUGACGGUACCUAAAGAAUAAGCACCGGCUAACUACGUG
rnacentral:rRNA from 1 species